AAACAUGAAUCAAGAAAACUAAACUGAUUCAACAACACUUGUCUGUAGCGUGAGCUAGGGUUGGCCACAUACAGGGCUAGGAGUGUCCAAUUUGAUUGGAAAAAGUAUGAGAGUUCACAUUAGAGAUUGAGGAUUCGAAUGGACACAAAAGAUCUGCCAAAACAUGUGUCAAAAAAAUUGAACAGAUUCAACAAUAUCCGUCUGUACCGUGAGCUAGGGUUGGCCACAUCAAAGGCUAGAAGUUUCCAAUUUGAGUGGAAAAAGUGAGGCAUCACAUUAGAUAUUGAGGAUUCGAAUGGACACAAAAUAUCUGCCAAAACAUGAAUCAAAAAAACUAAACUGAUUCAACAACACUUGUCUGUAGCGUGAGCUAGGGUAGGCCACAUACAGGGCUAGGAGUGUCCAAUUUGAUUGGAAAAAGUAUGAAGGUUCACAUUAGAGAUUGAGGAUUCGAAUGGACACAAAAUAUCUGCCAAAACAUGAAUCAAGAAAACUAAACUGAUUCAACAACACUUGUCUGUAGCGUGAGCUAGGGUUGGCCACAUACAGGGCUAGGAGUGUCCAAUUUGAUUGGAAAAAGUAUGAAGGUUCACAUGAGAGAUUGAGGAUUCGAAUGAACACAAAAGAUCUGCCAAAAC
rnacentral:lncRNA from 1 species